GUCUGCGACCAUUUUACCCUGAACAAGCCCGAUCCCGUCUGAUCUUGGAAACUAAGCUGGGUCAGGCCUGGUUAGUACUUGGAUAGGAGACAGCCUAGGAAGACCAGGUGCUGUAGGCA
rnacentral:rRNA from 1 species